GACGAACGCUGGCGGCGUGCUUAACACAUGCAAGUCGAACGGAAAGGCCCUGCUUUUGUGGGGUGCUCGAGUGGCGAACGGGUGAGUAACACGUGAGUAACCUGCCCUUGACUGUGGGAUAAUUUAAGGAAACUGGGGCUAAUACCGGAUAGGAGCUCCUGAUGCAUGGUGGGGGUUGGAAAGUUUCGGCGGUUGGGGAUGGACUCGCGGCGGAUCAGCUUGUUGGUGGGGUAGUGGCUUACCAAGGCCUUGACGGGUAGCCGGCCUGAGAGGGUGACCGGCCACAUUGGGACUGAGAUACGACCCAGACUCCUACGGGAGGCAGCAGUGGGGAAUAUUGCACAAUGGGCGGAAGCCUGAUGCAGCAACGCCGCGUGCGGGAUGACGGCCUUCGGGUUGUAAACCGCUUUCGCCUGUGACGAAGCGUGAGUGACGGUAAUGGGUAAAUAAGCACCGGCUAACUACGUG
rnacentral:rRNA from 1 species